UACAGAGGUCCCAAGCGUUGUUCGGAUUCACUGGGCGUAAAGGGUGCGUAGGUGGUGAGGUAAGUCGGAUGUGAAAGCUCCGAGCUCAACUCGGAAAUGGCAUUGGAAACUACCUUGCUCGAGGGUUUGAGGGGGGACUGGAAUACUUGGUGUAGCAGUGAAACGCGUAGAUAUCAAGUAGAACACCAGUGGCGAAGGCGAGUCCCUGGAAAACUCCUGACACUGAGGCACGAAAGCUAGGGGAGCAAACAGG
rnacentral:rRNA from 1 species